rnacentral:rRNA from 1 species
GACGAACGCUGGCGGCGUGCUUAACACAUGCAAGUCGAACGGAAAGGCCUCUUUCGGGGGGUACUCGAGUGGCGAACGGGGGAGUAACACGUGAGUAACCUGCCCUUGACUUUGGGGUAACUUCAGGAAACUGGGGCUAAUACCGGAUAGGGGCUCCUGCUGCGUGGGGGGGGUUGGGGAGUUUCGGCGGGUGGGGGUGGACUCGCGGCUUAUCAGCUUGUUGGGGGGGGAUUGGCUUACCCAGGGUUUGACGGGUAGCCGGGCUGUGAGGGUGACCGGCCAAAAUGGGAACGAGAUAAGGCCCAGGAUUCUACGGGAGGCAGGAGGUGGGAAUAAUGCACAAUGGGGGGAAGCCCGAUGGAGCAACGCCGUGGGGGGGAAGAAGGGCUUCGGGUUGGAAAACGGUUUCGCUCAGGACGAAGGUUUGUGUGACGGUAGUGGGUAAAGAAGCACCGGCUAACUACGUG